rnacentral:tRNA from 1 species
CAAAGAAUAGUUUAAGAAAAAUAAUAAUUUUGGAGAUUAUUGAUAGGAAAAAAUUCUUUUCUUUGA